rnacentral:rRNA from 1 species
CCUACGGGUGGCUGCAGUGAGGAAUAUUGGUCAAUGGACGAGAGUCUGAACCAGCCAAGUAGCGUGAAGGAUGACUGCCCUAUGGGUUGUAAACUUCUUUUAUAUGGGAAUAAAAUGUUCCACGUGUGGGCUUUUGUAUGUACCAUAUGAAUAAGGAUCGGCUAACUCCGUGCCAGCAGCCGCGGUAAUACGGAGGAUCCGAGCGUUAUCCGGAUUUAUUGGGUUUAAAGGGAGCGUAGGUGGGUUGUUAAGUCAGUUGUGAAAGUUUGCGGCUGAACCGUAGAAUUGCAGUUGAAACUGGGAGUCUGGAGUACAGUAGAGGUGGGCGGAAUUCGUGGUGUAGCGGUGAAAUGCUUAGAUAUCACGAAGAACUCCGAUUGCGAAGGCAGCUCACUGGACUGCAACUGACGCUGAGGCUCGAAAGUGUGGGUAUCAAACAGGAUUAGAUACCCCAGUAGUC